rnacentral:rRNA from 1 species
CCUACGGGUGGCUGCAGUGGGGAAUAUUGCACAAUGGGCGCAAGCCUGAUGCAGCCAUGCCGCGUGUGUGAAGAAGGCCUUCGGGUUGUAAAGCACUUUCAGCGGGGAGGAAGGCGUUAAGGUUAAUAACCUUGGCGAUUGACGUUACCCGCAGAAGAAGCACCGGCUAACUCCGUGCCAGCAGCCGCGGUAAUACGGAGGGUGCAAGCGUUAAUCGGAAUUACUGGGCGUAAAGCGCACGCAGGCGGUCUGUCAAGUCGGAUGUGAAAUCCCCGGGCUCAACCUGGGAACUGCAUUCGAAACUGGCCGGCUAGAGUCUUGUAGAGGGGGGUAGAAUUCCAGGUGUAGCGGUGAAAUGCGUAGAGAUCUGGAGGAAUACCGGUGGCGGAGGCGGCCCCCUGGACAAAGACUGACGCUCAGGUGCGAAAGCGUGGGGAGCAAACAGGAUUAGAUACCCUAGUAGUC